ACCUGGCUGGCUCAGUCAGUGGAGCAUGUGACUCUCAAUCUCAAGGUUGUGAGUUCAAGCCCCACACUGGGCA
rnacentral:tRNA from 1 species